GCCAGAUGUGGUGGUGCAUACCUGUGAUCCCAGUGACUUGGGAGGCUGAGGCAGGAGGAUCUCAAGUUCAAAGCCAGUCUCUGCAAGUUAGCAAUACCCUGUCUCAA
rnacentral:sRNA from 1 species